GUCAUCGUCUCCAUGUGUAUCUGUUACGUCCCUCUUCUACCCAUAGGUGGCGUAGUUUCCAUCAUGUCCUUUUUGGCUGCUCUGCCUGUUUUCUGUUCUAUUAUUAUUUUCAGGUGUGACCUGUGUGAGGGGUGGAGCUUCUCCCUAUAUAUACCUGUGCCUGGCGGUCUGCUGGUUGCCUUUUGCCAUUUGCGUUGGCCUUGUGCCAAGACCGGGUGUCCUCCACGCUCACUAGGCCAUGUCGUUGUUUUUCUACAUUGUUU